GCCUGUAGCAAAAGUCCACCCACAGGCCACCCACAAACUAUGUAGAGCUGGACUGUUGCAAAAAGAAAUACUACUUUGGUAUGAUUUGGGUUAUACCUCGGCAAGAAAUAAAUCAGCUCAGCUGCCAAGAUUAGCCAACAUCAUGGGAACAUAGAACUGUGGACCUGUUUUUAAACUGUCCUGAAGUCAUCUUGUGAAAGUACCUGGAGAUUAGGAAGAGUAGACUUUCUUGCUGAUAUGUACGGCCUUCUGCUUAUGGAUGUUUGCUCCAACUUUCAGAGGCAAGAGUAUGAAACUGCUCAAGCAUUUCUAUUUUCAUCCUAAGCAGAAGUAACUUUUUCUGUGGUUUCAAGGAGAAACAUUUGAACAUCAGAGAGACAAGACUGAGCAGGUGGAAAAGCUGAAUGAAAAUCUGGAAGAAUUCUCUAUAUGAUUUUUUUUUUGGUGCCAGAUGUUUUGCCAUUAAAAAAAAGAACAAGACAAGAUUGCUUCAAUUAUGGCUUGAUGAAUUGAUUAAUGGUGCUCCAACAUCAUGGAAAUAGGAAUUAAAACUGGAGGUGCCGAGCCAUUCCAAGGAUUUUGAAAAUAAAUAAAAUUUUACUUUCAAGCUGGU